rnacentral:antisense_RNA from 1 species
UGCUCUGAGACAUUUUAUUUAAACUUUUUUUUAAAAAAAAAAGACAGCAAUAAUUAAUGCCAAGAACAGAAAAGAUGUUGACGUGUUGCCCGGCCCGCCAAGCGGGCCCCUGCCCAGGCCCCCAAGCUCUGCCACCACUGGGGUGCUGCAGGAAGUUGGCGCUCUUGUAGCUGGGGUCCCCCCAGGGCAUUGCCGAGCAGAUGGGGCACACC